rnacentral:rRNA from 1 species
CUUUAUUUGCGCAGCAUAGGUGGGAGGCAUUGAGUUUAUUCUUGCGGGAAUUUAGGAGCCAUCAGUGAGAUACCACUCUGGUAAUGUUAGAUUUCUAACUUUGUAUCAUGAUCUGGUCAAAGAACAGUUUCAGGCGGGCAGUUUGACUGGGGCGGUCGCCUCCCAAAUGGUAACGGAGGCGUACAAAGGUUUCCUCUGAACGUGUAGAAAUCAUAUCUAGAGUGUAAAGGCAUAAGGAAGCUUGACUGUGAGACCUACAAGUCGAGCAGGGACGUAAGUCGGUCUUAGUGAUCUGACGGUGCUGUGUGGAAAGGCCGUCACUCAACGGAUAAAAGUUACUCUAGGGAUAACAGGCUGAA